GACGAACGCUGGCGGCGUGCCUAACACAUGCAAGUCGAACGGAGAUGAUGGGAUAGCUUGCUAUUUAAUCAUCUUAGUGGCGGACGGGUGAGUAACACGUGGGCAACCUGCCCCAAAGAGGGGGAUAACACCGAGAAAUCGGUGCUAAUACCGCAUAACAUUAGAGCUUCGCAUGGAGCUCUAAUCAAAGGAGCAAUCCGCUUUGGGGAUGGGGCCCCGCGUCUGAUUAGCUAGUUGGUGAGGUAACGGCUCACCAAGGCGACGAUCAGUAGCCGAUCUGAGAGGAUGACCGGCCACACUGGAACUGAGACACGGUCCAGACUCCUACGGGAGGCAGCAGUGGGGAAUAUUGCACAAUGGGGGAAACCCUGAUGCAGCAACGCCGCGUGGAGGAAGAAGGUCUUCGGAUUGUAAACUCCUGUCUUCUGGGACGAAUAAUGACGGUACCAGAGGAGGAAGCCACGGCUAACUACGUGCCAGCAGCCGAC
rnacentral:rRNA from 1 species